rnacentral:lncRNA from 1 species
AAACGGUACAUAAAAUAUUAUGUUUUCCUCCAUUUUUUUCGUUUUGCCCAAUUAACCCCUUAGCGAACAUUUCGCGUUUCCCGAAGAUUCGUCCGUCGUAUUUCCGAUUGGAUCAUGCCAUCGCGUUUAGCACGACUGUGGCAUCGAUUCUACCAUUUCGUUUCAUCUGAUUUAGUCGCCAAUUUGCGACGAAAACCAUCCACUCUCCAAUUAUCAAAACUACGCGCAAAUACAUAUACUAAUGUAUUUUUAGAUUUUUCAAAAUUCGUGCGUCAGAUCUGAAAUCCGUCAGCGCC